UACGUAGGUGGCAAGCGUUGUCCGGAAUUAUUGGGCGUAAAGCGCGCGCAGGCGGUUCCUUAAGUCUGAUGUGAAAGCCCACGGCUCAACCGUGGAGGGUCAUUGGAAACUGGGGACUUGAGUGCAGAAGAGGAAAGUGGAAUUCCACGUGUAGCGGUGAAAUGCGUAGAGAUGUGGAGGAACACCAGUGGCGAAGGCGACUUUCUGGUCUGUAACUGACGCUGAGGCGCGAAAACGUAAAAAGCAAACAGG
rnacentral:misc_RNA from 1 species